GGAUGAACGCUAGCUACAGGCUUAACACAUGCAAGUCGAGGGGCAGCAUCAUCAAAGCUUGCUUUGAUGGAUGGCGACCGGCGCACGGGUGAGUAACACGUAUCCAACCUGCCGACAACACUGGGAUAGCCUUUCGGAAGAAAGAUUAAUACCGGAUGGCAUAGUUUUCCCGCAUGGGAUAAUUAUUAAAGAAUUUCGGUUGUCGAUGGGGAUGCGUUCCAUUAGGCAGUUGGCGGGGUAACGGCCCACCAAACCAACGAUGGAUAGGGGUUCUGAGAGGAAGGUCCCCCACAUUGGAACUGAGACACGGUCCAAACUCCUACGGGAGGCAGCAGUGAGGAAUAUUGGUCAAUGGACGAGAGUCUGAACCAGCCAAGUAGCGUGAAGGAUGACUGCCCUAUGGGUUGUAAACUUCUUUUAUACGGGAAUAAAGUGAGCCACGUGUGGCUUUUUGUAUGUACCGUAUGAAUAAGGAUCGGCUAACUCCGUGCCAGCAGCCGCGGUAAUACGGAGGAUCCGAGCGUUAUCCGGAUUUAUUGGGUUUAAAGGGAGCGUAGGCGGGUUGUUAAGUCAGUUGUGAAAGUUUGCGGCUCAACCGUAAAAUUGCAGUUGAUACUGGCGACCUUGAGUGCAACAGAGGUAGGCGGAAUUCGUGGUGUAGCGGUGAAAUGCUUAGAUAUCACGAAGAACUCCGAUUGCGAAGGCAGCUUACUGGAUUGUAACUGACGCUGAUGCUCGAAAGUGUGGGUAUCAAACAGGAUUAGAUACCCUGGUAGUCCACACAGUAAACGAUGAAUACUCGCUGUUGGCGAUAUACGGUCAGCGGCCAAGCGAAAGCAUUAAGUAUUCCACCUGGGGAGUACGCCGGCAACGGUGAAACUCAAAGGAAUUGACGGGGGCCCGCACAAGCGGAGGAACAUGUGGUUUAAUUCGAUGAUACGCGAGGAACCUUACCCGGGCUUAAAUUGCAACUGACGGAACCGGAAACGGUUCUUUCUUCGGACAGUUGUGAAGGUGCUGCAUGGUUGUCGUCAGCUCGUGCCGUGAGGUGUCGGCUUAAGUGCCAUAACGAGCGCAACCCUUACGGGUAGUUACCAUCAGGUUAUGCUGGGGACUCUACCCGGACUGCCGUUGUAAGAUGUGAGGAAGGUGGGGAUGACGUCAAAUCAGCACGGCCCUUACGUCCGGGGCUACACACGUGUUACAAUGGGGGGUACAGAAGGCAGCUACACGGCGACGUGGUGCUAAUCCCAAAAGCCUCUCUCAGUUCGGAUUGGAGUCUGCAACCCGACUCCAUGAAGCUGGAUUCGCUAGUAAUCGCGCAUCAGCCACGGCGCGGUGAAUACGUUCCCGGGCCUUGUACACACCGCCCGUCAAGCCAUGAAAGCCGGGGGUACCUGAAGUACGUAACCGCGAGGAGCGUCCUAGGGUA
rnacentral:rRNA from 1 species